GUUCAAACACUGGUUUUCGUACGAUCACUGAAGUUAAGCAACGUCGAGCCUAGUCAGUACCUAGGUGAAUGACCGCUCGGGUAUACCAGGUGCUGUAAG